ACGUAGGGUGCAAGCGUUAAUCGGAAUUACUGGGCGUAAAGCGUGCGCAGGCGGUUAUACAAGACAGGCGUGAAAUCCCCGGGCUUAACCUGGGAAUGGCGCCUGUGACUGUAUAGCUAGAGUGUGUCAGAGGGGGGUAGAAUUCCACGUGUAGCAGUGAAAUGCGUAGAUAUGUGGAGGAAUACCAAUGGCGAAGGCAGCCCCCUGGGAUAACACUGACGCUCAUGCACGAAAGCGUGGGGAGCAAACAGG
rnacentral:rRNA from 1 species